rnacentral:misc_RNA from 1 species
GAUGAAGAACGCAGUGAAAUGCGAUAAGUAAUGUGAAUUGCAGAAUUCAGUGAAUCAUCGAAUCUUUGAACGCACCUUGCGCUCUUUGGCCAUUCCAAGGAGCAUGCCUGUUUGAGUGUCAUUGAAUCCUCAAGGCCCCCUUUUCCUGCCCUUCCUUUUCAAGCUUGGGCUUUAGGGGACUUGGACUUUGGGAGUGCUGCGGUGCCGGGCUUUCUCCGGCUCCGCUCUCCUCAAAUGCAUCAGUAGGGGCCCCCUCAUCCCUUUCGGGUCUUUGCGGCGUUGAUAGUUGUCCACGCCUCUGCCCGUUGGGUCUCACCCUGCUCCCUCAACCCCCCCCCCCACGUUUUUCUUUAAACGCUUUUGACCUCAAAUCAGGUAGGACUACCCGCUGAACUUAAGCAUAUCAAUAAGCGGAGGA